AGUGCUGUCUGUUCAAGGCACUUCACACCUGAUUGUUUUGAGUAUUUAAAACAACGUCGCCGUUUAUUUAGUUCAGCAAUACCAACAAUGUUUCUACCAAUUUUGGCUUCACCUUAUAGUUUGACUGAGUCUAAUACUAACGUACCUGGGCCUUCGCAUCACAAUACCGGCCAAAGUUCAACAAUGAAUACCAAAGUAAUAGUAGACCCAGAAAUUGGUGAGCUCAGUCCACGAAAACGCAAAUGAAACGACAAAUAGACCAUCUAAUAUAUUCUCUAAAUAACAAGAAAAAACAUGUAAAGAGGCUUCAAGACAAAAAUAGAGUGUUGGUAAAAAAAAAUGCGAAUCUAAAAGAAAUUUUAAAUACAUUGUCUCAAAAAUCUUAUAUAACCGAAGAAAAUGAAAAUAUUUUAUCCUGCAUAGGUGUACAAAAUCGAGAACUAGUUAAACGUCAAAUACUUAAAUCUAAAACAGGACAUAUGCCAAAACUAAAAUACUCUCCAGAAUUACGAGCGUUCGCUUUGACACUGCAUUUCUAUUCGCCAAAGGCAUAUAAUUUUGUAAGAAAAACAUUUAGUACAUGUUUACCAGCCACGAGCACGCUCAGAAAGUGGUAUCAGUCGGUUGAUGGUAAACCAGGGUUUACGAAAGAGGCGAUUGAUGCCAUUAAAAUCAAAGCGACAGAAUCAAAACAAAAACUUUACGCUACUAUUAUAUUUGAUGAAAUGGCUAUAAGAAGCGGAGUCGAAUAUCACCCCCAAGGCCGGAGGUAUUAUGGCCACGUUAGUUUCGGUACCAGCUUGGAAACAGAUUGCCAAGAUGAAGCCAAGGAA